AGUUGCCUUUCUUCUCCAUUCAAGGCACCAGCAGCUGCUGCUCUGCUGCUUACAGUGCUCAUGGUCUUGCUAGUGAAACCCCACCAGCAACUCCAGCCCACAAUGAGAAGCACUUGCUGCUCUUCCAGAUGGGGACGUUGAACAACUUGCUGAUAGAAGAAAAGGUGAAGGACAGAAGCACUGGAGGAAAUCACAGUCUCCUGCUGCCAGCUUUCUGGAUGACUGGUGACUCUUAAGGAGAGACAAGUGUAUGUUCUUUGCAGUUCCUGCCCAUGACCCUGUCCUGCCUCAGUUCUGUUUCUUUUCCUCAGUAGGAAAAACUCCUAACAGUUUUCAGUGCUGGUGCAGCUCCACUGGCUGUAGCACUACUGGAAUCUGAAACCCAAGAAGGUGAAGAAUUGUGUUACACAACACUGAACACCAUGCAUGAUACCAGACGUGCACUGGGGUGGAACAUGCAGCCAUACUUUCCCCAGGGCUUGUCUCUGCCAGAAAACAGCAUCAUGCUCGAACAUAAGAAGAAAUAAGGCAUCAAACUCUGUUUGGAGCUUGGUUACAGACAAGAUGGCUAGGAUGCAGCUAUGUGAAAGCUGAGUGCUAUCUGGGAUUUUUUCCAGUUAAUAGAGGUACCUCAAUGGGAAAGCCACCUUCUCCAUUUCUGGAUAGACUUAACAGCAUUUCCAAGGAAACCCUCCUGUUCUAUCAGCUGAAUUAACUGAGUCUUCUGACAGUUUGCAGUGCAACCUUUGACAGCCACUUGCAGGUCUGUCAGCUGUGGACAGGAGCCUUCACAGACCAGCCAGCCUUCUCAGCUCUGACCAAACCCAGGUGACAGCCAUAAGGGCUCACAGAAAUAUAAACUGUUCUAUAUUAGUUAUUUCUCUGAAGCACAUUUAAAUAUCUGGAAGUGGUAUUCAGCAGUUUUAAAGAUCUGUAAUUUUUCAGACUGAUAGCAUCUAUAAUAAACACAAGAUAACACCUACUUAUCCCAAAAUCUAGCUUUUAUCAGCUACACCACUGACAUCCAAAGAGUUAGCUCUAUGCAUGCAAAAAGGCAAAACAGUCAUUUUGCCUUUGCAAACACAAAAGUUAUUUUCCAGGGGCUGUCAUAUUCAUUAGUCACUUAAAUUUCAAGUUACUUCUUUUUGGCAAAGUUCAGUAAUAGUCAAAAUGUUCUCAUGCAACAGCAUAAUUUUCCCUAAGCUUUGGAGUCUGCUUUUGGAACAGGCAAUGAUUUUUCCCCUAUGUGUAAGAGACACUUCUGAAAAUUUGGGGUCAAACAGAUCUGUUACUAUGAUCAAAGCUGAAACCGGCAAUUUUGACAGCUUUACUGAGUAGAAUACAGCUUGCAACUAGUGAUGGGUUUUAUGAGUGAAACUGGAAUCUCAAAAAUGUGCCUUUAUAUGCAGCCCAUAAAGGAAAGAGUCCAAGCUAAAAUACUCCAUUGAUAUUAAACACACAUAAAGCCUUAUACUGCUUGCUACACGACCUGAAGGCCAUAGAGAAGGUAAAAAUCAACAUCUAGAAGGCAUUCUGCCUUCCUGUAAGGCUCUCCAUCCUACAUAAGUAUGAUCAGGAAAGGGACUAAGGGGAUGUGGUAGGAAAUACAGAAAAUACAGCUGGAAAGUAACUCAAAUGUUUGCAGUAGUUAUUCUCCCUGUCUUCUCCCUCCUUGGAGAAUAAGGAGCACAGGUGCAUCAGAAGUGCUGGCUGAACCAUGGUCCCUCUAGAAUCUGUGGGGUCAUUUAAGUAUGAGGACCAAAGUUUUAAAUUUUCAGAGGAAAAUGUUAGUGGUGUGUCCAAGAAUCAGCACAGAGGCUUCUCAGGUUGGAUACUCAUCCUGAGACCUGCACUUGGAGCCCAGGGAUGAAGACCAGUCCAUGUCUUUUCACAGCAAAACAAUCCUAAAGCUUUACCAUUGAAGUUCAUUGUUAAUGCUGUGGAGACAUUUCUCCCUUUCCUGUACACUCUCCUAGAGGUGGAGGACCAAAAAGUAUAACCAUCCAUCCAGUAAGUUUGAAAGUUCUCAGAAAAUGAUUCAGACGGAUUAUACUGUCACAACCUUAUUGACUACUGAACCUGAAGACCAUAAUUUUCUCAAGCCAUAUGUAUAAAUAUGGUUGAAAAUAAAUUGUCUUUUUAUUGUCUUUUAA